GCCACACAAACUUUCAAGCCAUGACGUCAGCCACGAAUUUGUUAACAUCUUGACUAAAUGCUGCAGCCUUCAGAUUGAGAAACGGCCUGUCGAAUCUGUUGCAAUCCCCGUGUAAUGUGUGACUACAUAUUACAGACACGGAAGAAGCAAAUUGCGCUUGUAUUACAUCAGUUUUAUUAUUCAAUGGGUAAGAGUGACAACAACAGCGCCACCCCUCUGCAAUCAAAAUACACAUUGACGUGUUUUUGGUCCCUUCGCACCGAUGAUUCGAUAACGCUAUAGGACCAUAAAGAAAUUCAUCCUACCAAAACACUGUUGUUUUGUUGGGAUUUUAUUAUCAUUAAUAUUUUUUUCGGCCCUAAACUGGUCGUGCUGACCAAACGGCCCAACAAAAGGCAUCGCCUCUAUCCAAUAGUAUAUUCCUGCACAACCGGAGGCUGCAGUUUUAUGACCGCAAUUCUAUGACCCUACGUUUUUGUGACAGCGCCACCUACCGAACUGGAUGAUAUAACGGCGGCUGCCGUUUCAGGUCCGCAGUUCUGUGCCCCUGGUUGUUUAGUUUGUAAUAACGUUUGUACAUAAUUAUAUCAAUAUAGUAAUCUCAGUACUAUUUCUUCAUAAAUGUAAUUUUAAAUGUAAGGUUAAUUAC